AAGACAAAAAUAUUACAUACCAUUUGUUUUGAAAAAUGCUCUUUCGUUUAUACUUCACUGAAUAGAUACUGCAGUACUGAACUCUCAAAUAUGUACACAUCCGAGACUUCGUCUUGGGAACCAGGCAACAUGCCAGAAAGGCAAACCCAGAGUAAGAAAGCAAUCAUAUUUGUGUUCCUUUCUUUUAAACCAGUAGCAAAGCACUCUGCAUUUACUCUUUCCCACUGAGCCGGGAGCUCCCUGGCAGCAUGUCCUGGCCUCCCCAGUCCCCUAACAGAGCAGCAUGGCACAAGGCACACAGCAGGGUUUCAACAGAUUGUCGUUGACAGAUUAAAAUGAAAAUUCUUAUUUGCACCUAUGUAUUUAAUAAUAAAGUACAGAACCAUAAAAGUUGCAUCACAUUUUGAAAAUCGGCACUCUAAAACUUAUUAGUUCAUUAUGAUUCACUUGCUGCAAAAGGGCUUCAAAAACAGACCAAAGGGGAAUCAAGGAACUAAACCUACAAUGAUUUCUUCUAAGUUAUGAAUUUUCAUCUUGCACGUUUUAGUCUAUGAAGUGUUUCCAAUAUCACUAAAGAUGUAUCUCAUGGUUGUGUUUUUUGGUUUUGUUUGAAGUGUUUAAAGCUACUUCAGCAUUUAACGUACUUCAUUAUAUUCUGAAGUAAAACAAUAAAAAAACUGUACAUAUAAUCCUCGAUUUACAAUAUGGUUAUGUCCCAAUAAUCCCAUGGUAAACUGAAAAUAUGUUAAGUCAAAAGGCAGCGCAGAGCCUUUGGUUAAGGAAUCACAAAUCUGUAUUUAUGAAUGAAAACUAUAGUACUCUUGGUUUUAACAAAAUCAACAGAAGCUGCAAAGAAGUCCUCCAUGCAGAGAUCCUAUGAAGAGCCUCCUUUCUAUAUAACCUAACUAACAUCUGCACCAGACUGUCCACAUUGAAGAUGGUGGAUUUAUUCUUUCAACUCAUGCUAUAAACAGUUAAUAUAACAAGUAUUUAACUUUCCAGGAAAGCAUGAGCAAGGGCUGCUUUCUUUAACUUGCUGUUUUUCCGAUACUCUUAGAAAUCUGCUGUCUAUUCCUGUCUACAAUGAUUCAGCAAUGAGGAAACAUUGACAGAGUAUCUGCUAUGUGCUAGUCACUGUAGACUUCCCCAUCUAAUCUCACAACAAACCUGUCAGGUCUAAAAGAGUCAUGGAGAUGCUGUGGUGAGGGGAGAGGCCAGGCUUAGAGACCUUCAAGAUCUUCAACACCCCCCCAACCCCAACUCUGCACUCCAAAUGGCCACUCUCCAAACACACCCCUGGAAAACAACCAAUGCUCCUCAGAGUGUUUGACUCCUGAUACCACUUAUCUGGUGAUAAGAACUUUUGGGCCAGGCACAGUGGCUCAUCCCUGUAAUCCCAGCACUUUGGGAGGCCAAACCAGGUGGAUCACUUGAG
rnacentral:lncRNA from 1 species